rnacentral:rRNA from 1 species
AUACGUAGGUGGCAAGCGUUGUCCGGAUUUACUGGGCGUAAAGGGAGCGUAGGCGGAUACUUAAGUGGGAUGUGAAAUACCUGGGCUUAACUUGGGUGCUGCAUUCCAAACUGGGUGUCUAGAGUGUUGGAGAGGAAAGUGGAAUUCCUAGUGUAGCGGUGAAAUGCGUAGAGAUUAGGAAGAACACCAGUGGCGAAGGCGACUUUCUGGACAAUAACUGACGCUGAGGCUCGAAAGCGUGGGGAGCAAACGGGAUUAGAUACCCCGGUAGUCCUGGCCGUAAACGAUGGGUACUAGGUGUAGGAGGUAUCGACCCCUUCUGUGCCGGAGCUAACACAAUAAGUACCCCGCCUGGGGAGUACGGUCGCAAGAUUAAA